GAGCGAAGGGGGCUAGCGUUGCUCGGAAUCACUGGGCGUAAAGGGUGCGUAGGCGGGUCGUUAAGUCAGGGGUGAAAUCCUGGAGCUCAACUCCAGAACUGCCUUUGAUACUGAGGAUCUUGAGUUCGGGAGAGGUGAGUGGAACUGCGAGUGUAGAGGUGAAAUUCGUAGAUAUUCGCAAGAACACCAGUGGCGAAGGCGGACUCGCCUGGCCCGAUACUGACGCUGAGGCACGAAAGCG
rnacentral:rRNA from 1 species